rnacentral:lncRNA from 1 species
AAUACCAUGAAGUGUGAUGGUGUAGCAUUGUUGCAUCAGGGUCUGGUCUCCUCUGACUUUGCCAACUCUGAACUCAAUUGAAAACUUCAUCUUUAGAUGAUAGAUGAAUACUACAGCUUGAAAUACAUUGAGUCCUAAGCAUCCAAGGAUAGCAUUAUAGGCUGAUGGUGCUCAAACCAUCAAAAAAUCAACCUGAGCCUUGGAUCGCCAUGG